GAUGAACGCUGGCGGCGUGCCUAAUACAUGCAAGUCGAGCGAACAGACGAGGAGCUUGCUCCUCUGCCGUUAGCGGCGGACGGGCGAGUAACACGUGCAUAACCUUCUUCUUUGACUGGGAUAAUUUCGGGAAACAGGUUAUACUACUAGCUCAUAUAUUGAACCGCUUGGUUCAAUAGUGCUUGACGGUUUUGCCGUUUCUUAUAGCUGGUUCCGCGUCGGAUUAGCUAGUUGGUAAGGUAACGGCUUACCAAGGCUACGAUGCGUAGCCGACCUGAGAGGGUGAUCAGCCACACUGGAACUGAGACACGGUCCAGACUCCUACGGGAGGCAGCAGUAGGGAAUCUUCCGCAAUGGGCGAAAGCCUGACGGAGCAACGCCGCGUGAGUGAUGAAGGUCUUCGGAUCGUAAAGCUCUUUUAUUGGGAAAGAACAGAAGUGUAAUUAUCUACGCACGUCUUGACGGUACCUAAUCAGAAAGCCACGGCUAACUUCGUG
rnacentral:rRNA from 1 species